UACGAAGGGUGCAAGCGUUACUCGGAAUUACUGGGCGUAAAGCGUGCGCAGGCGGUUUUGUAAGUCUGUCGUGAAAGCCCCGGGCUUAACCUGGGAAUUGCGAUGGAGACUGCAAGGCUUGAAUCUGGCAGAGGGGGGUAGAAUUCCACGUGUAGCAGUGAAAUGCGUAGAGAUGUGGAGGAACACCGAUGGCGAAGGCAGCCCCCUGGGUCAAGAUUGACGCUCAUGCACGAAAGCGUGGGGAGCAAACAGG
rnacentral:rRNA from 1 species